AUGAACGCUAGCUACAGGCUUAACACAUGCAAGUCGAGGGGCAGCAUGGUCUUAGCUUGCUAAGGCCGAUGGCGACCGGCGCACGGGUGAGUAACACGUAUCCAACCUGCCGUCUACUCUUGGACAGCCUUCUGAAAGGAAGAUUAAUACAAGAUGGCAUCAUGAGUCCGCAUGUUCACAUGAUUAAAGGUAUUCCGGUAGACGAUGGGGAUGCGUUCCAUUAGAUAGUAGGCGGGGUAACGGCCCACCUAGUCUUCGAUGGAUAGGGGUUCUGAGAGGAAGGUCCCCCACAUUGGAACUGAGACACGGUCCAAACUCCUACGGGAGGCAGCAGUGAGGAAUAUUGGUCAAUGGGCGAGAGCCUGAACCAGCCAAGUAGCGUGAAGGAUGACUGCCCUAUGGGUUGUAAACUUCUUUUAUAAAGGAAUAAAGUCGGGUAUGGAUACCCGUUUGCAUGUACUUUAUGAAUAAGGAUCGGCUAACUCCGUGCCAGCAGCCGCGGUAAUACGGAGGAUCCGAGCGUUAUCCGGAUUUAUUGGGUUUAAAGGGAGCGUAGAUGGAUGUUUAAGUCAGUUGUGAAAGUUUGCGGCUCAACCGUAAAAUUGCAGUUGAUACUGGAUAUCUUGAGUGCAGUUGAGGCAGGCGGAAUUCGUGGUGUAGCGGUGAAAUGCUUAGAUAUCACGAAGAACUCCGAUUGCGAAGGCAGCCUGCUAAGCUGUAACUGACGCUGAGGCUCGAAAGCGUGGGGAGCAAACAGGAUUAGAUACCCUGGUAGUCCACGCCGUAAACGAUGAGUGCUAGGUGUUAGGCCCUUUCCGGGGCUUAGUGUCGGAGCUAACGCAAUAAGCACUCCGCCUGGGGAGUACGACCGCAAGGUUGAAACUCAAAGGAAUUGACGGGGGCCCGCACAAGCGGAGGAACAUGUGGUUUAAUUCGAUGAUACGCGAGGAACCUUACCCGGGCUUAAAUUGCAGAUGAAUUACGGUGAAAGCCGUAAGCCGCAAGGCAUCUGUGAAGGUGCUGCAUGGUUGUCGUCAGCUCGUGCCGUGAGGUGUCGGCUUAAGUGCCAUAACGAGCGCAACCCUUGUUGUCAGUUACUAACAGGUUCCGCUGAGGACUCUGACAAGACUGCCAUCGUAAGAUGUGAGGAAGGUGGGGAUGACGUCAAAUCAGCACGGCCCUUACGUCCGGGGCUACACACGUGUUACAAUGGGGGGUACAGAGGGCCGCUACCACGCGAGUGGAUGCCAAUCCCCAAAACCUCUCUCAGUUCGGACUGGAGUCUGCAACCCGACUCCACGAAGCUGGAUUCGCUAGUAAUCGCGCAUCAGCCACGGCGCGGUGAAUACGUUCCCGGGCCUUGUACACACCGCCCGUCAAGCCAUGGGAGCCGGGGGUACCUGAAGUGCGUAACCGCGAGGAGCGCCCUAGGGUAAAACUGGUGACUGGGGCU
rnacentral:rRNA from 1 species